UGUGUGUGUGUGUGUGUGUGUGUGUGUGUGUGUGUGUGUGUGUGUGUGUGUGUGUGUUGUGGCAACCCGGCCCAGGCCAAUUAAGGAUAUUGAGAGCACCUGAGGAACAAGUGGAGAAGCAGGGCUUAAAUAGCCCGCUUCUCCACUCAUUCGGGGCUCUCCCAGCCCUGGAGCUCCUGCACAGAGAGACCGGUCCUCGUGGGUGACGGGAUUCCACCCACGAAGGAGGGGACCGUUGAUUCCUCCCAGGUCAUACGUUUUUUUGUGUUUGGAGAGACUUUUAUGUUUUUGAAAUAAACACGCCUUUUUUUGGCUUUUCCCAACGCAAUUGUGUCCUGUUUGGGAGGAGUUGGUGCGCUCAACGUGGCGGGUUGCCACAUAUGGUGGAGGAUGCGGGCAACUCGACCGAGCUACGGGCCAUUUUGGGUGGGAGCGCCCACCUCAAGCCACCCCCAAACCAGAGAUCACGCAGCCGGAGCCGACGCAGCCGGAGCCGACGCAGCAGAGACGAUGCCGCCAGAGACGAUGCCGCCAGAGACGACACGCCGCCAGAGACGACACACCGUCAGAGACGACACGCAGCCCGAGACGAGGCCGCGGGAGACGAGGCCGCGGGAGACGGGGCCGCUGGAGACGAGCUGCGGGAGACGAGGCCGCGAAACGAGCCACGCCGGCAGAAGAAGCAGCCAUGCUGCGCGCCGGACCGCCGCCCCUCCGAAAGGCCACCCGAGGCUUCAGCAAAGGGUGGAGGAGUGUGGCAACCCGGCCCAGGCCAAUUAAGGAUAUUGAGAGCAGCUGAGGAACAAGUGGAGAAGCAGGGCUUAAAUAGCCCGCUUCUCCACUCAUUCGGGGCUCUCCCAGCCCUGGAGCUCCUGCACGGAGAGACCGGUCCUCGUGGGUGACGGGAUUCCACCCACGAAGGAGGGGACCGUUGAUUCCUCCCAGGUCGUACGUUUUUUUGUGUUUGGAGAGACUUUUAUGUUUUUGAAAUAAACAUGCCUUUUUUUGGCUUUUCCCAAC
ensembl:lncRNA